rnacentral:lncRNA from 1 species
GAAAAUAAAAAAAAAUAUGGUUUGGACUGGCCUUGUCAUGUGGAAUAGCCUGCCAGGAGCUUAUGCCUGGGACAGCCCCCACAGGCUUAUGUGUGAAAGAAUCUGAUCCGAGAAAGAUCAUGAAUGAUUUGAUCCGAGAAAGAUCAUGGCCACUUUGAUCCGAGAAAGAUCAUGAAUAUUUCGAUCCGAGGAAGAUCACAGAAAUCGAUCC